AAGGCGGAACUUCCGACCAUCACCUGUCCGUCACCUGUGUGUUGUGUUGUUGUUGCCGCGUUGACCUGACCAUUAUGUUGCACCCGGCCCCCUGAAGCUCUGAGGCACGGGAGGACGGGUAGCUGAGGUCAGGGGUCAGGGCGGGGCAGCACCUGGGUCAUCCUCACGCCGCCGAGGUCACCAUGGCCAGCAACGGGCGGCGGCCACACAGGCCGGACAUGAUGCCAGCGGGAGGGGCAGGGCAGGGGGGCUGGGUGCCAGGGGUCAGCAUGCCUCCCUUGGGCUAUGGUUUGGUGGCCCAGCAGCCCCACAUGGCCCCCCAGCAGCCCCACAUGGCCUCCCCACAACCCCUCAUUGCUCCCCAGCAGCAGGCAUGGCAGCAGCAGCAGCAGCAGCACUUCUUGGCCCAGCAGGCUGGACUUGCAGGGAUGAUGGGCAUAGCAACACUAACACAGCAGCAGCAACAACAACAUCAACAACAGCAGCAGAACUACCCACCACAGCACGUGCAGCAGCAGUGGAUGGAGGCACAGCGGAAGGCAGCAGAGGACCAGCGGAAACUGUACGAGCAGAUGAUGAAGCAGAGGCAGUUUGACGAGCAGAAGAUGAGGCUCAAGGCUUUCAACGCAUCAAAAAAGACUGGCGUGAGUGCCGACACCAUGAUAGAGAGCAUCCUGGGGGGCAAGGAGCACACCAAGCCAAGGUCGCCUCAGCCUCUUAAAAAGAGUGGCGGGGGUGUUGAGGAUCAGGGUACGCAGGGCAACCACCACCACCACAACCAGGCCCCUGCAGCAGCCCCCACGUCCCAGGCCCAGACCCACCGCCUGGGCACCGCUGUGGACUGGACCAAGUUGGAGAAUGUCAACACCCUCUUUGCGUCUCCCAAGAAAGCCAUCCCCGCAGCAACCACCACCACCACAGGCACCACCGAACACCCAAACACCACCACACAGCCACCCCAUGACACCACCACCACCAACAACCUCACCAGCCCCAGACCCCAAGCCGCACCUCACAGCAUGGGGGACGUUGCAGGGAAACCAGUGAGCGCGAGGAAGGAAGGGAAGAGUCCGAUUCUGGUCCCACAGUGGAUGAAGGACUCAGCUACAAUCCCUGAGGUCUACAAGAGGGCAGUGGGGCUGGUGGGGGCUGCGGAGGGCUGGGUGGACACGAGCAGGGCCUACAUGUUGCUGAUGAAGACUGGACUCCCCCCGCCCUUCCUAGGAGUGCUCUGGGAGAUGGUUAACUGUACUACGCCUGGACAGCUGACACAGACCGAGUUCUCCGUUCUCUUGGCUCUGGUGGCAGUGGUUCAGUCUGGUCAGCCCAUCACCGGUCCAGAGGUGUUGAAUGCCACCCAGGAGCCAGUCAUGCCACUCAUCGACCACCCGGCACUGGCACCACUCGUCCAGGACUACCUCCAGGCUAGGCAACAGCAGGCUGGUGGUGGUGGUGGUGGAGGACAACCACAGACAACCACUAACAACAACAGUGCUAAUGGUGACGAUGAUGAGUUUGACGACUUUGUGAGUGUGACCGUACCACCCAGCGCAUUCCCACACAUCACAUCCUUCCCCACCACAUCCCAGGCUACCUCCUCAUCAUUCCCUGUCCCUGCCUUCCCCGCACAUCCCCAGACAGCCCCAGGUCCCAAGCCGCCCCAGACUCAACCAGGGGACAAAAACAAGGCUAUGAACCUCCCGAAACUUGGGUUCUCGCCGGAGCCAUCGCCGACGACAAGCUUCGACGAUGACUUUGAUGACUUCCAGAGCGCUGCGUUACCGUGCAUACCCCAGGCCGCCGGUGGUGCUAUGGGGCAGCAACCGAAGGGGGGUCAAGGCAUACCCACCACCACUAUCACCACCACCCCUACCAUGUCAACCGAACAGCCCCCUCCAGUAUCUGUCCUUCAACCGGAGAAGUCAGGAAAGGCGGCUGAUGAGGACAAGUAUGCUGUGUUUAGGGAAAUCGCCGGGACGAACGCACAGCCGGUGGAUGAGACCGAGAACCCGGAUGACAGUUUUGGUGAAUUCUGCAGCAGCGAAGUGGCGAGUCUCAGCCUAGCACAGAACGCGUCAUCCUCCUCAUCCGCAUCCAUCUCUGCCCCCCCUGGCCUCCUGCAGUGCCAGAGUGCCUCGGGGACCAGCAACACCUCACCCAUCAGCUUUGAGGUCUACAGCACCCCGCCGGAAGCACUCCCGGAUGCACAGACGGAUGCGUUCGAGGCGGACUUCAGCGCUGCGUUUGCCUCCACCGCCGCAUCCACCUCCACACGACAGCCGGAUAACUACGCCGACAUCCACGAGGCCAUGAAGCGGGCCGAGGCGGAGCAGAAGCGGAAGGAGGAGACCAAGUGGAGCGAUCCGUUUGGGGAGUUUGAGGAAGCUCCGCCACCACUUCCUCCACCCUCUGCUACUUCUGCUGCUCCUACUGCUCCUCCUACUGCUUCGUUUGGGGGGGGGUCAGGUCUGCAGGGUGCCAUGCCGUCCCUGUCCAGUGCCGCGGGUCUUGCAGUGCCAUGGGGCCCCGCCGGAGUGGAGGAGGACAAUGACGAGGACUUUGGUGACUUCAUGGGCCACAGCGGCAUAGGGGCGGGCAGCAGCAUCCACACCCUGCCCCCACCCCUGGAGAACCUGGGGGAGACGCAAUCAGUGGCCAGCCUGGAGUUGCCAGGGCUGGAGAUGACUGUUGGAGUGGAGGGUUCGGAGACACAAGGAGGCACGGACCUGUUCGCACAGCCUAGAACUGACCUUGGCACUGUGGAAGACCAGCUGAGCGGCCUGCACCUAGACACAACAACAGGAGGAGUGCCAGGGUCAGGAAGCAUGAGUUCCGGCCCCAGUGCCACCCAGCACCACCAUCACCAGGGAGGCACAGCAGCCGGCAGCGUGAUGGACUCGUACUGUGGUGGAGGCGGCCUAGUGGAUAAGUACAGCAUCAUCAGGGAGGAGGCAAGCAGGGACACACAGCCCCCAGGAGAGGCGCACACUGGCUCCUGGGAGAGGUGUUUGGAGGGCAUCAUCAAGGUGCUGCAGGAGACACACACCGUCCUCACCAGCCUCAACACCACCACCACCACCACUACUGCCACCACCACCACCACCACCACUGCCGCCACCACCACCACCAGUUUAAAAAGCCAGGUUCUUGCCACCAGCCAAAUGCAGGAUUACCUCACUAACGUGUAUGAGGUGUGGCUGGUAUGUGGCCGCAUCAGAGCCUCCAGCCGCCGCGUCACCACCAGCGUACAGGUGGACACCCUCCUCUCACAGGCCCAGGCACUCUGGCGGGACAUUCUGGCGGCCGCGGGGGCAGACAGCGUCAUUGCCAAGCCGCCAGUGGACAGCAAUGCCAGUAACCACGAGGAAGGGGAGAACCAGAUGGCCGAGGGGGAGGUCUGCGGGGUAUGCCUGACAGGAGGGGGCAACAGACUCACCUACGGAGGUCACUCAUACCACCCACCCUGUGCUAACCUCUGGCUGAACUGUGUCGACCUGCUCCUCCCCUCCCUCACCCCUGUCACCCUGCUGUAAUGACCUCUGACCUCAAGAAUGACUAGUUGGGGGAUGGGAGCAUGGGCAUGAUGUGUGUGUGUGCCGUCCUGCCCUGCCCUGCCUUGCCUUGCCCUCACCACACAUGAUAGUUUAGCCUCAGGAGCUGCAGGUUUCUUCCCUCACAGCCUGGCAGCUUCUCAAAGGCCUUGGUUUGAGUCCUGGCCCAGGCAGUCGGCGUGCAGCCCACCCAGCUGUUCAUCUUCCCUUUUGGGCUGGUGGAUAAAUGGGUACCUCAGUAAACCUGGGGAACGUAAACUGUGGUAACCCGGGUGUCCUGGGGUGACAGGUUCUUCCCACCACAGGCUCAAGGGCCAGUGUGAUGGAGAUGAGCACCGAGGCCACGCACAGCUAUAGCGUAUGCCCCAACUUUACUUUAAACACCCUGCUAGACACGUGGGGCGUUGUGGCUGGUCGUGAGGAAGGACCCUUGCAAGACCUAUUUCACAGGGAGAUCCUUCACCCUCAGACCUUGCAGUGUUGAUUGGAGAGAGGAAGUGAUGAGAGA